AGUGAACGCUGGCGGUAGGCCUAACACAUGCAAGUCGGACGGCAGCACAGAGGAGCUUGCUCCUUGGGUGGCGAGCGGCGGACGGGUGAGGAAUACAUCGGAAUCUACUCUGUCGUGGGGGAUAACGUAGGGAAACUUACGCUAAUACCGCAUACGACCUACGGGUGAAAGCAGGGGAUCUUCGGACCUUGCGCGAUUGAAUGAGCCGAUGUCGGAUUAGCUAGUUGGCGGGGUAAAGGCCCACCAAGGCGACGAUCCGUAGCUGGUCUGAGAGGAUGAUCAGCCACACUGGAACUGAGACACGGUCCAGACUCCUACGGGAGGCAGCAGUGGGGAAUAUUGGACAAUGGGCGCAAGCCUGAUCCAGCCAUACCGCGUGGGUGAAGAAGGCCUUCGGGUUGUAAAGCCCUUUUGUUGGGAAAGAAAUCCAUCUGGUUAAUACCCGGGUGGGAUGACGGUACCCAAAGAAUAAGCACCGGCUAACUUCGUGCCAGCCGCCGCGGUAA
rnacentral:rRNA from 1 species